GCGCCGGCUUCCCCGUCGCGGCGGCCGCUCCCGCCCCCGAGACGCACGGGAGUGCGUCAGAAGACGUUUUACUUUUAAAGGGGAAAAGAGGGGACGCCGAGAAGCUUCCGGAAAAGUCACGACUAAAAGUCGCUGUGUCAUGACCCACCCACCGCCUUCCGCCGCUUUUUAAUUACGCCAGUUCUCCCAGAGCGGUGAUUGGACAACUCAUGCCCGCCCGCGCGAUGACGCAUAAUCCACUCUGUCUUCCAUUGGGGGCGGCGAUGAGGCGGAGCCUAAGAGUAUGCUGCUCGUCCCAACGCUAAAAAUAAAAUCCGGAUGCAACCGCGAGGUUGUGCGCCAGCAAGAGGUGAGGGGAGGAGAGAGCAGCAUCGAUGUGAAAGAGAAACCAACUGGCUGCCUCCUGCACGCACCCUGACCAGGGAUCGAACCUGCAGCCCAGGAAACACCUCUUUCCCGUGGUGCACGGCUGGAUACUUUCUGCACAGACCUGUCGAGUCCUCGAAGGUGGACCUGCGAGUGUGCCUGUGGGCAGGGUGGGUUCAGGGUCCUCCCCGCCGCCGCCCUGGCUCUGUCUCAUUUGCCUUCAGUGACACUUCUGGUGAUGCUCUUGGCACCCUAGCUUGCUUUGGGCUGAAAAAAAUCACUGUCAUCUUUCUCACACUAAUCAACGUAUGUUUCUUUCACAAGUUUCUC